rnacentral:sRNA from 12 species
UAAACGAGAAGCUUGGGACAAAUCCCAGUGGGAAAGUUUGUUUUUAACAAACUACUAAGCUUUCUGACC